rnacentral:rRNA from 1 species
CUAACGACUCUCGGCAACGGAUAUCUCGGCUCUCGCAUCGAUGAAGAACGUAGCGAAAUGCGAUACUUGGUGUGAAUUGCAGAAUCCCGUGAACCAUCGAGUCUUUGAACGCAAGUUGCGCCCGAUGCCUCCAGGUUGAGGGCACGUCUGCUUGGGCGUCGAGC